CAUGAUGCACCUGAUACAGGGUUGAGGCAACCGACGGACGGACGGACACACAGACGCACACACGGACUGUAUACGACGCCGUACUUCAUUGAGUGAAAGUCCAAGAGUCAUUUAAAGACCGAGGGGUGAAGCAGAUACACAGGCAUGGAGCGGUAGCCGGGCCACAGGUUUCAAUCCUAUGGAAGCAGGUUGGAGCGAGUUGCAGACCGCCCCCUCACAACACUCUGUCCUUUCAGCACAGAACUCGGCAAUGCUCUUACUAAAGAGUGGAUCAGUCUUUCCUUGGCAACCAUCCAAACACUUAUUGGGAACAUUGGACGACAGUGCCAGAAUGUGGUCGCACUUUGUUGAUCACAAACUCCCUACUGAGAGUAUUUGUUCAAAAUGAAUAAAUGAUACACUGAAGGUUCUGUUUUUGCCAAAUACUAACACUUUGAAAUGUAAGUAAAAAUGUAUGUGAAUAGAUGAUGAGUAAUCUGUGGCGUAUGACGUCAUGCACACUAGUGUAUAAUGUACAUAUAAAUUACAUUUAGUGUAUAUCAAGGUAUAUUUUACAUUCAUAUAUGUAUUUUCCUGCAGUUCAAAAGUGUGGUUAUUUUUUGCUUCGUUUCACACGUUGAAAAUGAUUUUCAUACUCUUGAUAGUUCCUCGUACAGAAUGAUGUGUUAAUUGAGGUACAAUCUGUCAUGGAAACGGAAUGUUUUUUCUUUCAAUGAAAACAGUGACUAGCUUAUAAACAAGUGUUGGAAACACUGUUGGUCGCCA